rnacentral:lncRNA from 1 species
UUCGCUGUAUGGCGUGCUCGUUUGGGUUGGGCGUCGACUAAGAGUGCUCGGAGCGUGGAUUAACUCCAGUCUCCUAUCAGGUGUGUAUUUUCUCGCUACUCUAGCUGUAGGAUGGCUACUUCGAGCUGCGAUGGGCCGAAAGGGGUCAUGUGGGCCUAAUGGGCCUACGGGCCCAAUUGGAUAAGUUGUUUGAUUGUGUAGUAAAUAUUGGACUAGGCUAGGUGAAUCUCAUAUUUGUGCCUAGAUUUGGGCUAAAAGGGCCACACGAGCGUGUGGGCCCAUUUGGGCCGAGAAUAGGCUUUAGGCCCAUUCGUGUUGUUAUCCCUGUUUAGAAUACUUUAGUUUACCAAAUUACUUAAAUACCCUCGAUUUGUAGAAUUACCAUUUUACCCUCAAUUCAUAGAAUUAUCGUUUCACCCUCGAUUUACAAAAUUAUCGUUUUAUCCUCGAUUUAUAGAAUUACCGUUUCAUCCUCGAUUUAUAAAAUUACCGUUUUACCCUCGAUUUAUAGAAUUACCAUUUUACCCUCAAUUUACAAAAUUACCGUUUUACCCUCGAUUUACAAAAUUACCAUUUUACCCUCAGUUUACAAAAUUACCAUUUUACCCUCGAUUGUGAAAUUACUGAAAUACCCCUGUAGGAUAGAAUUACCAAAAUACCCCUAGUUUGUAAAAUUACCAAAAUACCCCUAGUUUGUAAAAUUACUGAAAUACCACUAGUUUGUGAAAUUACCGAAAUACCCUCAAUUUGUAAAAUUACCAAAAUACCCCUGAUUUACAAAAUUAUAGAAAUACCCUUGACUUUCUAAAAAUUAUAGAAAUACCAUUGGUUUACAAAAUUACUGAAAUACCAUUAGUUUGUAGAUUUUCCAAAACACCCUUGUAGGAUGAAAUGACUAAAAUACCCCUAAUAGGUAAAAAGACCGUAAAGCCCCUGUAGGAUAAAGUGACCGUAAUACCCUUGUAUGGUAAAAUGACGAAUAUGCCCUUAUGUUUCGUAUGACUGAUGUGCUUAGGAUUUACAUAUAUUGAUAUUGGAUUAGUUAAGUUUGAGUGACAGGUGGUGGUUAUCGUAGGUGAUUGAUUAUGGAAACGUUUCAACUUCAACCCAUAACAGGUGUGUACUAACCCUCGUAGUAGCUUCGAUUAAUAUCUGCUGAGAAGCCGAAAUGCUAAAAUACUUGCAUUUCGGGAACUUGUAAUGUUGCGUGUGGAUAUAGAUGCGAUAAAUACGAUAAGAUCGGUGUUUGGAUCGAUGGAACGGGUAAGAACUCAAUUUUGUACACAAUGGUAAGUUGGGCUUCAAUGGGUAGGAAUUGGGCCAAAUGGGCUUUUGGGCCCAUUUGGGUAAAUUGAUAGAAAAUGGAAUUUGGAAAAGUUGCAUGUUAACACGAUUAGUAUUGUUGUAAAAUUUGGGUUAAGUAGGCUUAGUGGGCUAAAUCAGCAUUCGUAGGGCCCAUUAGGGGUUUUGGGCCCAAAAGCCCAAAUUUGAUAAAGUGGGUUAAAGAUCAUUGUUUAAACACUCGGAAAUAUUAAUAAUUGUAAUGAACAUGGAAAACCCUGAUAUUUGGUAAAAUUAUGAAAAUACCUUUAUAAUGUGAAAAAUGACUAUUUUGCCCUUGUGGGCAAGUGACUGACUUGGAUUGUGUGGUUGACGGAUUUGAUUGUGAAUAUUUGUUGGUGAUAUGAAUGACUUGGCUGUGAUUGUUUAAUUCAAAUAUGGGCAUGACAUUCUGCAUACAUGACAUGUUGCAUUGGGUUGGGUUUUUAUAUGGAUGGAGGAAGUGCAAAAGGGCUUAUGCCCUAGUUUAUUGAAAAGGGCUUAUGCCCCAGUUUACCGAAAAGGGCUUAUGCCCCAGUUUAUUGAAAAGGGCUUAUGCCCUAGUUUACCGAAAAGGGCUUUGCCCCAGUUAUUAAAGAGGCUAGGCCUCCAGAUAUAUGAUAAAGCAGCUAUGCUGCCAGUGGUAUGUUGGUUGGGUAGGUUGAGUUAUUCCCCACAUGGUGUAUUGGUUGGUACGGGUGGAGAGUAGCGGAUGGUGGGUUGAGUAGUCUCCCCAAAUGGGCUUGCAUACAUUCAUUGGUAUUUCAUGUGAUAUUGAAAUGGGCUUGCAUACAUUCAUUGACAUUACAUGUGAUAUUGAAAUGGGCCUAAGGGCCAUACCAUUUACAGUAAAGGCUUCGGCCCAAUGAUAUGAUUUAUGAAAAGGCUUCGGCCCAAUGAUAUGAUUUAUGAAAAACCUUCGGCCCAGUGAUAUGAUUUAUGAAAAGGCUUCAGCCCAGUAACCGUUAAAAAGAAAGGCUUCGGCCCAGUAUAUGUCAAGACUAAAUAGGGCUUUAGCCCAGAUUGUACUGAUACUGUGUUUUCACUGUUUGUUUGUUAUUGGGAUUACACACUGAGUUUUCGUAAACUCACCCCGUUUCUAACUGUGCAGGUAAUCCCUAUGCUUAGAUGGUUUGGAGCUACGAGGGACUCAGAGAUGGCCACACUACUGUUUCUGUUUCUUUUAAUUGCAAUAAGUGGCCGAUUUAUUUCUUUAUAAGUUUUAUCUUAAUUAAUAUUAUUAUUUGGUUUUGGGUUGUAAUAAGGCCAUUUUAAUUAUUUUUCUGGGAUUAUUUUAUUUUAUACCCUAUAUUUUACUGAUAACAA